rnacentral:lncRNA from 1 species
ACUUGCUAAUGGCUUUAAAGGAGAGGAAGAUUUGUUUUUUUCUGCUUUAUGUCUUCAGGUAGAUUAGGUUUCAGAGUAUUUUCCCAAUUAUAGGAGAACCAGACUGGAGCGCUCUCUGGGUUCACAAUUUCUUUCCAUGGCUGUGUAUACGCUUCAUGCAUCCCUUCUCCUGACUCCCAACUUUGGGGACUCUGUGUCUCCUUCACCCUAACCCUGUAACCCUGUAAGCCUAGUGGGGCUGCCCAUGUUGUCACUCCACCACUCCUGCCAGGCUUUUCAUGGUCCUUUACUAGAUUAGGUAUGCAACUUUGGUUAUGGAUCACUUGAUAAACAUGGUAAGAUGCAGAUUCCCAGGCCAAACCACUAAAAAUUCUGAAUCAGUAUGGUAAACUUGGAGAGGAGCUGGAAUAUAUGCACAUGUAAUUCACAUCCAAGAUGGUCUUUGAGAAACACUUUGGGAAACAUGGUCCUAGGAUCUUGAAGCUAAUGGUGCAUGAGCCUAGAGCACCUAUGGCCACUAGGCCACUUUCUCAUUGCCUGGAGAAAGUCAGAGUUCAGGAAGACACAAGAAGGCAGCAUGCAGAGAGAAGCAGAGUGAAGAAGUAAAGGAAAAAAGAGAAUAGAAUUUGAGUUCCUAGACACAGUGGUCUGUGAGGACAGCUCCACCCCUUUUCUUCCUGAGGCUUUAGUUGUAUAAAUCAGAGUGUUCUUUAUUUCUUUCUAAAUCUUGAACUUCUGUGACUUAAGAGGGCUACUCCGUAGAUAUGGGGAAGUACUGGUAUACCGGCAGGUAUAACUGGUUUAUUUGCAACAUAAAUCUUUCCGAAAAUAUAAUCCAUAAUAUUCUGUAAGUAGACCAAGUAUACUUAAUAAUACCAAGUAUAUCAUCAAGUAUAUAUUAAGUAUAUAACUUAGUAAUACCAAGUAUAUCAAGCACAGUGGCUGGGUUAUGCUGCAGUAAGAACCACCCUCCAAAUCUCAGUGGCUUAACAUGAGUUUCUUUCUUUCUCCUUUCUCAUACUACAUACACUACGCAUAUAGGCCGGAGGAUUUCUGCUCCAUGAAGUCUCUCAGAGAUCCAGGCUGAUACAGAGUUCAUCUUAACAAGUGCUUUCGUAGUCACCACAGCAGUGGGAAAUGAACAUGGAAAUCAUUGAUCAUGGCUCUUAAAGUUUCUGUUCCAAAGUGACACAGCUUGUUCCAUGUGAAGCAACCUUUCUGCUCAGAUAUUCCCUGGCCUGCAAUAGAAGCUCCAGUUUGGGCUUUGGAAACUCAAGUCUCAGGUAUGAAUUCGAAAAUCUCUUUUGACAGAGUUCUUCAGGGAGGCUCUUACAAUUGUGUAGCAUUGGCAGCACACACAAGAAAAUGGACCAAUCUACCAACCACAGACCAGGUGCAACCAUGGAUACCAGGACCAUAAAGUGCCUUUGUCUUGGGGUCACUUCGAGAAAACAUUGUAGAUCCAGGGGCUCUGAGCUGAAGAGGAAAAACCAUCAUAGUGUUCUGUUCACGAGUGCCCUGAAUUCCAUCCACAGAGCUAUUGGAUGUUUGGAGCCCAGGUGAAGAUCCCAGAGCUGGGGAACGAAAGGUUGGAAAAGCCCAGCCAGCUGUGCAAGCCUCCAGAGACACUCUCUUGACUGCGGUGAGGUGCCUGCCACAAAACCCCUAGCUCCCUGCUCUUCAACCUCUGGCUUUGGCGGCAGGUGAACCAGUUAGCCAUGCCAGGAGGCAGAAAGGGCAGAACGCAGAGCCUGCCUUUUGAAGCCUUUUGCUUCCUUUGAUGUGCAGAUUUUAUCAAGGUCCUUUCUGGAGUUGGGCAAAUCCCAGUUGCCUUCUUCAAAUCCUCCUUUUGAGAAUAUUUCCAGAGAAUCCCCAAACCGCUCUCCUAUGGUUUAUUUUAGGCUGCUUACUUGCUUGCAUUCAUUUAUUUACUUAUUUAUUUAUUUUGCAGAGGAAAGUGAUAGCCUGCUGGGCUGGACCUGGACUUUGAGACAGAACUUUCGAAUCCGAAGAAGAGAUGAUUUUCAGAUAGUCCUCCUUCCAGGUCAGGUUUAAGAAAAAUAGUGAAGGGAAAUAUUAAUAAACAUGAUCAAAAUAUUCAUGUGUAAUAAUUAAGCAAUUCAGCGCCUUGAACUUAACAGGUUUAAGUUGAAAUUCCUUAGUGGAUACGUGAUUUUAGAGAAGUGGAUUAAACUUUCUAAACUUCUCUUUACAUAUAAGGAAACCGAGGCAGGCUCAGAGAAGCUAAGUAGCUCUUUUGAGUCCACACAGCUAGUAAGGGGAUGCUGAGAGUAGAAUGCAGGUCCAUCUGACUAUAUGACUAUCUGGCUGAGGAAGGAAGAGAGGCUGCUGCUCUGCAGUACCCUACCAACAAGGACAAUAAUAACCAGAGCAACAGUAGCUACCCCUAAAGAAACACGGACUCCAUGCUAGGCACUAUAGCAGGCAUUUCAAUGAGUUUUCUUUCAUCCUCCCAAUGGCCCUGCGAGGUAGGGAUGAUUCCCCACUUUCCACUAAAGAGAAUCCUGAGAUCAGAGAGGUGAGAUGAUUUUUGCAAAGUCACACAGCCAUGGAUGGCAAAACCCAGGUCUGGCCGAGCCAGGAAACUUUCCUCAACCAUGUCCAGAAGUAAAGUUCCUGAGGCCUCUCUUGGAGAUAGGGAAUUAUGAUUUCCAAAGCAGAACUCCAAACAGUUCCACUCUGAAUGAGUUGACAGUGGCAAUUGGUCCCUUGAGAUAAAAGUCAACAAUGGCUAUGCUGAAGCUAUAGCAUUGAGGGAAGGGAUCUUGAACUUUGGAAUAGGCCAAAGAAGGAGGAGGCAAGGGAGGACCUGAAAUGCGCUGGAAGAAGGCAUUCAGCAACCUCAUAGCUUUCCAGCGCUUGCUAGGGCUGCAGGAAUGAAACGAGGCUGUGGCUUCUUUCCAAGCUGACCUGAAGGCUGCAAGAUGUGAUGGCUGUUGCCGGAGAUGUUCUUUGACACAGCUACCAGCAUUGCAGAAGCAUGACAAUAUCUCCAGCAUCACCUUCCUGAGUCCAAAACUCUGUAAAUUUGAACUCAGAGAGAGACACAAGAUCCCAGCAUGAUGCUCCUAUGGUACUGUGGGACCUGGAUUGGGACUUAGAAUCCCAUGCAAGGGUAUGAGUCUUGUCCAUUCUCCCAGCCUCCCUUGCAGCCCAGAGCUCACAUCUGCAGCCCAUCUGGCUAGGCUUAGGAGUGCAGUCCACGGUCAGGGAAAAGGAAGUCUCUCUGUGUGUAUUUCAGGCCUGGCCUGGACAGCCUAACACUCCUCCCAGGCCAAGAUCAGCGGAUAAAAUCAGUCCAAUGAGCUGCUUGUCAGAGAAGCUUCUGGCCUUGACUUUCAGAUUCCUGAGUCAUCUCUCCUUGGGCCUAUCCUCUGUUGGACUUCCUUGCAGGGGCCUUUGAUGAACAGAUGAGAUAAUAGAUAUGCUUUGAAAAAGAUAAAAUGCUGAACAAAGUGUUUUGCUGGCCACUGCAAUGAGUGCCAUGGAUUGGUUAAACCUUGAAUCUCCUUCCUGUCCAAGGGCAAAGACUUCUCCCAACCUCUGCAUCUCUAAGACAGCCAGUUUGUGUGGUGACAAGCACCCUGCACCCCCCAACCACUCAGGGUAAUAAACUCAGCAGCCAUUAGUAACAACAGUUAGAAGAUGGGCUUAUAUGUUAGGCACAUUUCAUCCACCAACCAAUGGAAUCAUCAAAACAAGCAUGAAAUAGGGGUAUGGAUUUUCCCACUCUAUGGACAAAAAACCCUGAUGCAUGGGGAAGUCAAAAAACAUGCCCAAGAUCUUACAGCUACUUGGUACAGAUUUAGGAUUUGGACCCAAGCCUACUCAUUCCAAUCUCCAACAAAACAUGAGGGAUUUAGCGAUGAUGUCCUCAGCUAGAAUAAAAUAUAACACAAUUGGAACAAGAAACAUGUGGUUUGACAAACAUGUCCCUGAUAGCUCUUCCAAAUUUGCAGAAAAUAUGACUUUUCCUCAUCACUGCAGCUGGAGAUCUUGGCGUGAGUUGUAUGAAGUGGAGGUUCCGCUGCAGGGAGAUGCGAGAUCAUAGCAUUAUUCUGUUGGCUGAGACCUUGAUGGUUAUUUAGGGCCAGCAAACCCUUCACAAUAGUCACGCCAAGAGCUGUCCAGCCAAUGCUUGGACACUUGCAGAGAUGAGGAACUUAUUCCUGCAAGGUGGUUUAGUCUAGUCCCAGAUAUCUCAUCAUUAUUUAUCACUCCUUUGGGCAAAUUGAUGACAGGAUGUAUUAAAAUUGAAAACGUGCUCUUCCUACUGUCCAGCAAGUACACCCUUACAGAGAUGCGGGAGGAGGGUAAAGAGGGUUUCACAGCUACACUGUAUUAGCAAAA